rnacentral:rRNA from 1 species
CUGGGCUUAAAGUCUUGUAAUUGGAAUGAUGGGAAUUUAAACCUCUUCCAGAGUAUCAAUUGGAGGGCAAGUCUGGUGCCAGCAGCCGCGGUAAUUCCAGCUCCAAUAGCGUAUAUUAAAAUUGUUGCAGUUAAAAAGCUCGUAGUUGAAUUUCUGCUGCAUUGCUUGUGUCCCUCUUGGGUCUGUGCAUGUGGCUUUUUUCGGACGGAGUUUCUUUGUCUGAAUGUUUACUUUGAGAAAAUUAGAGUGCUCAAAGCAGGCUUUCGCCUUGAAUAGUUUAGCAUGGAAUAAUAAAGUAGGACUUUGGUUCUAUUUUGUUGGUUUUAGGUACCAAAGUAAUGGUUAAUAGGAACAGUUGGGGGCAUUCGUAUUUAACUGUCAGAGGUGAAAUUCUUAGAUUUGUUAAAGACGAACUACUGCGAAAGCAUUUGCCAAGGAUGUUUUCAUUAAUCAAGAAC